rnacentral:lncRNA from 13 species
GCUUCCCAUGGGUGGGAGGAGCUCCUUCUUUCACUGAAUCUCUGGAGGGCUGCUGGCCUGCACGGUGGGCGGGGGCAGGUGUGCUCACAGCAUCCUGGUGGGGCAGGCCCCGCCCCAGGGAGGCAAGCCCAGGGGCCUGACUGGACAGCGGCACAAACAGCCCCAAGGUUCCCUGUUUUGAGCGCCCCUCCUGAAACUUCAACCCAGGCCUGGUUAAAGGUGAUAGCGCAGCUUAAGCCGGGUGUGGAGGGGAAUGAGGAGAGCAGAGGAGAAGGUGGGGAGCGUGCGCCCCUUUUGCAAGGCCUGAGCUGGGGGGCCCAAUGGCAGCAGAACAGUGGUGAUCUUGAGAGUUCCAACAGCUGGGAAGGCAGUCCUGGUCUCAGGAGCGGGGAAGAGGAGCAGACGCUGGGGAACAUACCAGAAGGCGUGUGACAUAGCCCAGGGGAACCCCCAGAAAUAACAGAAAGGUGCUUUGAGGGGUUUAACUUCCUGUGUGGGCAGAUGGGGAAUGCAUGCAAUUGGCUGGAAUUAGAGCAUUGACGUCAACUUGCCCCCUUUUUUUGUAGCCACAGAUGGUUGAAGCUGGCCCUCUAUUUGAAGAAAUGACAAUAGAUGUUUGUGUGGAGGUUUAGUGUUUACGAAGCGAUCCACUAACACCAUCUCUUGGAAUCCUCACAACAGCAGUGGGGAGAAGGCCUUGCAGGCACAAUCCCUGUUACAGAUGUGGAAUCUGGGGCUCACAGUUUGGACAACUUGCUGGAGGUCAUCAGCUAGUCAGACAGAGCUGAGACACAAACGCAGGUCUCAGAACUCUACACCUGGGGUUUUCCUCUCUGCCUGGCACUUGGGGACAAGGUGAGGGGAUGGGCUACCCUAGCCACUGUUAUGGGUUGAAUUUUGUCCUCCUAAAAGAUGUGUUGAACUAUCUGGAUGUGACCUAUGGAUGUGACCUAUGGAUGUGGCCUAUUUGCAAAUUGAGUCUUUACAGAUGUAACCGUAUUAAGGUGAGAGCCCUAAGGUGGGCCUUAAUCCAAAAGACUGGUGUCCUCAUAAGAACAGGGAAAUUUGCUAGGCAUGGUGGCUCAUGCCUGUAAUCUUAGAAUUUUGGGAGGCCAAGACAGGAGGUUUGCUUGAGGCCAGGAGUUUGAGACCAGCCUAGCAACGUAGUGAGACUGCAUCUCUACAAUUAGAAAAAAAAUUUCUUAAUUACCAGGGUGUGGUGGCUGGCAUAUGCCUGAGAUUUCAGCUACUUAGGAGGCUGAGGCAGGAGGAUUGCUGGAGCCCAGGGGUUUGGGGCUGCAGUGAGCUAUGAUUGUGCCAUUAUACUUCAGCCUGGGCCACAGAGCGAGAACCUUACUCUAAAAGAAGAUGAACAAGAAGAAAGAAGGAGAAGGAAGAGGAGGAGGUGGAGGA